AAAGGGAGAUUAAUACCGCAUAAAGCCAAGUUUCACAUGGAAUUUGGAUGAAAGGAGUAAUUCGCUUUGAGAUGGACCCGCGGCGCAUUAGUUAGUUGGUGGGGUAAUGGCCUACCAAGACAGCGAUGCGUAGCCGACCUGAGAGGGUGAUCGGCCACAUUGGAACUGAGAUACGGUCCAGACUCCUACGGGAGGCAGCAGUGGGGAAUAUUGCACAAUGGGCGAAAGCCUGAUGCAGCAACGCCGCGUGAGUGAUGAAGGUCUUCGGAUUGUAAAGCUCUGUCUUUUGGGACGAUAAUGACGGUACCAAAGGAGGAAGCCACGGCUAACUACGUGCCAGCAGCCGCGGUAAUACGUAGGUGGCGAGCGUUGUCCGGAUUUACUGGGCGUAAAGGGUGCGUAGGCGGAUGUUUAAGUGAGAUGUGAAAUACCCGGGCUUAACUUGGGUGCUGCAUUUCAAACUGGAUAUCUAGAGUGCAGGAGAGGAGAAUGGAAUUCCUAGUGUAGCGGUGAAAUGCGUAGAGAUUAGGAAGAACACCAGUGGCGAAGGCGAUUCUCUGGACUGUAACUGACGCUGAGGCACGAAAGCGUGGGUAGCAAACAGGAUUAGAUACCCUGGUAGUCCACGCCGUAAACGGUGAGUACUAGGUGUAGGAGGUAUCGACCCCUUCUGUGCCGCAGUAAACACAUUAAGUACUCCGCCUGGGAAGUACGAUCGCAAGAUUAAUACUCAAAGGAAUUGACGGGGGCCCGCACAAGCAGCGGAGCAUGUGGUUUAAUUCGAAGCAACGCGAAGAACCUUACCUGGACUUGACAUCCCCUG
rnacentral:rRNA from 1 species